rnacentral:SRP_RNA from 1 species
GCCGGGCUGUCGGUGGCGCGUGCCUGUAAUCCAAAGUUACUUGGAGGCUGAGGGACUGUGGAUCGUUUGAGCUCAGGAAUUCACUGAGCUACAGUGGACUAUGUCUAUCUCGGUGUCCCUAAUAAGUUCGGGUAUCAAUAUUGGUCCUCCUUGGCGGGAGGCCGGGACCAAACCGAGGGUCGUGUCUAAGGGCGGCGGUGCACCGGCCAGGUCGGAAACGGUGAGGCAGGCCAAAGCCCCCGCUGCCGCUCAGUAGUGGGGAUCGCGCCUGUGAAUAGAGGCUGUAUGUGAAGCCUGAGCUA